GCUAAACGCGAAGAACCUUACCAGGUCUUGACAUCCCCCUGACCGGCGCAGAGAUGUGCCUUUCCUUCGGGACAGGGGAGACAGGUGGUGCAUGGUUGUCGUCAGCUCGUGUCGUGAGAUGUUGGGUUAAGUCCCGCAACGAGCGCAACCCUUGACUUUAGUUGCCAGCAAGUAAGGUUGGGCACUCUAGAGUGACUGCCGGUGACAAACCGGAGGAAGGUGGGGAUGACGUCAAAUCAUCAUGCCCCUUAUGACCUGGGCUACACACGUACUACAAUGGCCGGUACAACGGGAAGCGAAGGAGCGAUCUGGAGCGAAUCCUUUAAAGCCGGUCUCAGUUCGGAUUGCAGGCUGCAACUCGCCUGCAUGAAGUCGGAAUUGCUAGUAAUCGCGGAUCAGCAUGCCGCGGUGAAUACGUUCCCGGGUCUUGUACACACCG
rnacentral:rRNA from 1 species